GCUUGCCACGAGCUGCUCGAGCGGAGGCCGAGCUCGAGCCGGGGCGCGUGGCCGCCGCGCGCUCGCGUGGCCGCGCGAGGGCCCCCUGCCGUUGCGCGCUCUCUUGGCCAUGCUCGAGCAGCACGUGGGCCCGCCUGGCCGCCGUGCGCGCUAGCUGCUGGGGGAGCAAGCCCGCUUAGCCACUGCGUGCCCGGUUCCCACGCCGAUUCCCGCGCUGAUUUCCCGCACCGAGUCCCCAGCUGCACAAUAUUCGGCUCAGUGGGGCUGCUACGCAUGAAUCGGCAGAUGUUUCGAGGAGACCAUGCUAAGCACGAGGGAUGGGGACGCUAAGCAAUAACCUGGAUGGUUCUUGGCUUCUCAGGGAUGGACCGUAAGUCAAGUUACUCGCUCGAAAUCAGACUCAGUUGCAAUCCUACGCUACAAAGCGUAGGAAGGACAUUUCAUACUUCAGUUUCAGCAAGAUUGUGGAUUCUGAUCUAUGCAAUUUCAAAAAUCUCAUCGAAAAAAUUGUUAAUCAGUACCCUCAUAGUUAUCUGGAAGUAGUGCGUAUUUUUUACUAUGAAGAUGUUAAAAAAUGCUUCCCACAAGUCACAACAGAACAUGAACUACUUGAAAUGUUUAGCAAGCAUGUUGACAAGAAGGUAAUUCGCAUGACCCCUGCAUACACUGAUCCCACAUAUGUUGUACCUGUCCUUGAGUGCUACACCCCAGAAAAUUCAGAUGUGCUUGAUAUCCCAUGCACCCCAUCUAUGGCUUGUCCAUUACUUGCAACAGCAAGCCAGUCCAAUGAGCCAAUAUACAGCCAAUAUUCUAAACCAAAAACAAGUCAGCCCGCUGAACAUAGUACAAAUGAACGUAGCACAAGUGAACCUAGCACAAAUGAAACUAAUGAUGCCCCUGAUGGUGAUGAAUAUUUGGCAAAUCCUGAACCACAAAAUGAAUAUAUGGGUAUUGAUGAUGAAGGCUUGUACUUAGCUGUUCAUAAGACACAUGUGGUUGAGGAAAGUGACUCUACGUCUGAUUUUAAAUCUGACGAGGAGUAUGAGGAGGAGGAUGAUUUAGUUGGCAAGGAUCCCUUGCCACCUGUGCCAUUUAUGGCCUAUGAUCGAGAUGACCCACCAAUGAGAGCAAUUUAAGCUGGCAGUUUCUCAACAUGACAUGAGUUUGAGUAUGACACUAAAAAGAGUGAUCUAGAAAGAUUAAGAGCUUAUUGUUCAAGGAAGGAAGAAGAAGGGUGCAGGUGGAGGUUGCAUGCUUCUAAAAUAAAGGAUGAAAAAACCAUAAAGGUCAAGAAGAACCCACGUCGACAUAAAUGUUCUAGUGCAAGAAGAAGCAAGGUUGUAAAGAAUGCAACAAAAUUUUGGAUCUGUGAACAAGUGAAGGAUUGGCUAAUGGAGGAUGCAAGUUUGAAAGCUAAAGAAUUACAAAGGAGGAUAAAGGAUAAGCACAAGGUAGAGGUUCCUUACAAGAGAGUGUAUGCAGGUAAAGAAUUGGCACAUGCACAAUUAUUCGGUAGUUGGGACAAUAGCUUCAGUAACCUAUACAAUAUCAGACCCGGGGCUAUGGGACUGCGCACAUGGCGUACAUAUUUUAGGAUAAAGGGGUGGGACAUGCCUGCACCCAACACCAGUUGUAACUGCUCGUACAGGAGUAGGACUAAUCGAAACAGAAGGAAACUCCCUGAGUCGUA